GCAUCCGUAGCUCAACUGGAUAGAGCAUAAGUUUCCGGUACUUAAGGUUGUGGGUUCGAAUCCCGCCGGGUGCGCCA
rnacentral:tRNA from 1 species